rnacentral:lncRNA from 1 species
AUGUGUAGAUUCUCUCAUUUAUAAAUGUUCAAGUCUCCACACUUUUAAUCAAUAUAGAACUUCUCCAAACUACUAACAUUUAUUAUUCUUAAUAAUUUUAAGUUUGUCAAAGAAAUUGAAUGGUGAAAAAUCAUAAAUCAAAUUGAGGGAAAGUAUAAGAGUACCAGAUUACAACGUACAAAUAAAUUUAUAUAUAACAUGUAACAACAUUAUUUCUUCAAUUUAAUUGUUACACUUAUUUUGAUAAGCUUUAAUUGUUACACCUACACACACUCACAAAAACGAUUGGUGCAAAUAGCAAAUAAAGGAGGUUUACACAACUUUCCUGGACAAUCCUUGCUUGUUAUGCAGGGAUGUGUAGCUGCAAUGUUUAUAAACAGAUUAAUGUUAUUAAAAAGGGGCUACACACCAAUUUUUAAGUAAAUUGCAUAUUUGAAAAUAUUGUAAAAACUAACUUACUUUUUUCGGCUGAAGCAAGAACCAGAGAAAGAAAGAUGAUCAAUGCAAAACAAAAAUAUUG